rnacentral:lncRNA from 1 species
AUGUAGACUGACUUUUGAGGAUGAAAUGUCUCUAAGAAUUAAACUAACUUCAAUAGGAGUUGAUAUUGCCUUCAGAGAAUAGUGGUAGUCAUCUGAUUAUAAAAGUGGCUAGAAGAGCCAUGGAAUUAUACCUGCAGAAAAACUUUUCUACCAAAAUUUUGAUAGAAGGGUUAGUAAGAAAAUAUUUUUUUUCUUUUUUUUUUUCAAAAGAACAUUCUAG